rnacentral:rRNA from 1 species
UAGGGAAUCUUCCACAAUGGGCGAAAGCCUGAUGGAGCAACGCCGCGUGAGUGAUGACGGCCCUAUGGGUUGUAAACCUCUUUUGCCGGGGAGCAAAGUGCCGCACGUGUGCGGUUUGGAGAGUACCCGGAGAAAAAGCAUCGGCUAACUUCGUGCCAGCAGCCGCGGUAAUACGAAGGGGGCUAGCGUUGUUCGGAUUUACUGGGCGUAAAGCGCACGUAGGCGGACUAUUAAGUCAGGGGUGAAAUCCCGGGGCUCAACCCCGGAACUGCCUUUGAUACUGGUAGUCUCGAGUCCGGAAGAGGUGAGUGGAAUUCCGAGUGUAGAGGUGAAAUUCGUAGAUAUAUGGAAGAACACCAGUGGCGAAGGCGGCUCUCUGGUCUGUAACUGACGCUGAGGCUCGAAAGCAUGGGUAGCGAACAGG